rnacentral:lncRNA from 1 species
CCGGGUUCAUACCUUUUUUAGAUUUUUUAAAUGUAAGUUUUACUCCUUGUGCCUUGUACCGUUUGGGCUGAAGGAGUAAUCUCUGCUUAUUUUAACUUACAGCCUACAGCAUUCAAAUAAGGACCAGAGUAACUGAGUGUUAAGUGGUCGUCACUCAGAUCAAGCUGCCUUUGUGUUUUAGGGAAAUUAUUAAAUUUCCUAGUAUUAUUUCUAUUUUCUCAGGUGGACGUUGAGUGGCAAAUCCUGCAGUUGUUGCUCAGUUUAGCUUACCGACCCUCCGAUGUUAGAGAGGAUAUCCUCCUGAUGAGAACGAGCUGUUUGAACCCGUCGACUCUGAAGAUCUGAAAAAGAGGGAAAAAGAAGAGUGGGCCGAAUACCUGCGCCAAGAUGACUACAAGUUUGACUACACACAUGAUGAUGAGUCAGACUGGAGUAGUUUGGAAAGUGACGGAGAAAAAGAAAUCACUAUGGAUCAUGAGAAGGAUUUGCAGGAGGAUAGUGUAUCAGCUCAAUUCCAGUAUCCUCCAUUAUUUCCUAGAUCGGAACCAGAAGCCAAGUAUCGGAAUCGUGAAGAAUACCGCAGAUGUAUGGCUAAAGAAGGCAUAAUGGCACAAGAGUUUCUGGCAACUCAAGUUCAGCAUUCAUGGUGGGACAUUGACGAGGAGAUUGCCAAAAUGGGAGAUAGCUCCAAUCUCAGUUUCAAGGAUUUAGCAAAUUCAUGGCGACGCACAAAAGAUAAUAGACUGCUUAUGGUGUUAAGUGAGGAGAAAGUUCUUCGGGAAAUUUUAUGGACCCUUCAUUGUUCUUCAAGUAGUGCCUUGUUUGAAAUGGAUGGAUCUGGGUCCUUGAGCGUCAAACAAAACUUCACCUUACCCACUGCUUCUCAGGAAGCAACUUUUCAAACUGUCUCACGUCUGUCGCAUUUACUACAAGUUUGUCAGGAAAUGUCAAGUUUCCGAGAAUCAAUAGAUUUUAUCGAAUCCUCUUUCACUUUGCAAGCAUAUGCAAACACAUUGGCGGAAGUACUAGAAGAAUUUACCAUGAAAAUCCUUUUGCUUGAAAGGAAACUCAAUGAACAUGAAGAUGAUACAACCCUUCUUCAUUUAGAAGAAAUAAUUGCACCGUAUUAUCAUGAUUUGAUGUAUGUAUAUCAAAUUCACCAAAAGCGACUGAAUUACACAGUAGUAAACCCAAGUGGUUAGCGGUUGCCAGGUAAGCAUGAUUCAUAUCAAAUGUGUCCUCAUGAAUAAGUUUUGGACAAAAAGGAUCAGUAUGAAAUAAGCACAAUGAGGCCAAAUUGGCAUUAAAUAUGACAGGACGGUGAUGAUGAUGAAUAUUAGUCUCUGAAAGGCACCAGAUGCAGCUUUUGCCAUGAAAUUCAAGAAAUUUUAUCAGAUUUUGCCCAUUUACUCAACUCCUCAACCCCAAGUAAAUGCAUGUUAAUGCUGGAUCAGGGAUGUUAGACAUUCAUUUCACUUAGCAGUUUGCAAGACAUCCAUUGUAUUUAAAAUUCCCAUUAUUCCCAGAUGCCACAUGCUCUGUCGUUCUUGCAGCAAAAAACGCAAAUAAAAUUUUUUUCUCUGUCUUAGAUUGUUGGCAGAGUUAGAAAUUGGCUUAAUGGAGGCCACGUCUUGUCGUCAAACAGAUUUCAUGCUUAGGCUAUUUGUGAAAUCCUUGCGGCCGUCAAUUGAUAUAUUGGAUAAGUGGCUCUCUAUCGGAAAGCUAGAAGAUUUUCGAGAUGAAUUCCUCAUAUGCCGGUAAGUUUCUUCUCCUUCUUCUUUUUUUCCCCCACCAGUUCCAGGCUUGAUCAAAUCAUUUCUAUCUCAGCCGUGAAAUGAUUUAAGUUGAAUU